rnacentral:rRNA from 1 species
AUGAACGCUAGCGGGAGGCCUAACACAUGCAAGCCGAGCGGUAGAGAUUCUUCGGAAUCUUGAGAGCGGCGUACGGGUGCGGAACACGUGUGCAACCUGCCUUUAUCAGGGGGAUAGCCUUUCGAAAGGAAGAUUAAUACCCCAUAAUAUAUUUGAUGGCAUCAUUAGAUAUUGAAAGCUUCGGCGGAUAGAGAUGGGCACGCGCAAGAUUAGAUAGUUGGUGAGGUAACGGCUCACCAAGUCGAUGAUCUUUAGGGGGCCUGAGAGGGUGAUCCCCCACACUGGUACUGAGACACGGACCAGACUCCUACGGGAGGCAGCAGUGAGGAAUAUUGGACAAUGGGUUAGCGCCUGAUCCAGCCAUCCCGCGUGAAGGACGACGGCCCUAUGGGUUGUAAACUUCUUUUGUACAGGGAUAAACCUACUCUCGUGAGGGUAGCUGAAGGUACUGUACGAAUAAGCACCGGCUAACUCCGU